rnacentral:tRNA from 1 species
UCGAUACGAUCGAUGAUUAUGAUCGUAAUUUAAGAAUAAUCAUCAAAGAAAUACUUUUUAAUGUAAUUAUAAGCGG